UAGAUUGACAGUAGUAUGUAUUUCAUUAUUCAUUGAGGGCACAUGUAUGGAAUUAAUCUUUGACUAGAUAGUAAUAAAUUUUUUGGGUCAAAAUCAGAUAAUAAUAGAUAGAUGGGUGUCACUUAUGGGGCAGACCCAUGUUGAUUUUAGCGUGAGCAUCUGAACAUUUUAAUUUUGUUUUUUAUAACUAAAAUAUAUUAAAAGGAAUAAAGAGGAAUGUAUACCAACGGUAACAAUAUUACAAUAAAUAUUUAAGUUUUCUAGCCUUUUAGACGUUACAGCAGAUCUAAGUACUUAGGAAAAUUUGUUUGUUGGUUUGUACAUUUUAUUAGAUGUUAACUUAGUCGGGAUGUUUUGGUUAUUCCAUAAUGUCUUUGCACUCUAAAAUGUGGGAGUUAAUUUUUUUCUUUUGUAAUAAGAAUUAAAAAAAUAUACAAAAUCAUUUUGAAAAAUCAUCAUAUGAUCAGGAGCGGAGCUUCUCAAGAAUAAGAGGCCGCGGCACCAAGAAAAAAAAAAAUAGAUAAAAUGACUAAAAUGCCCGUAUUAAAACAAAAAAAUUACAAGAAUAUCUAAACCUAAUUCAGUUUUCUCUUUUCUCUUUCUUCUCUCUUCCAUCCAGCCUCUCUCCUUCUCUAUUCUCUUCUCUGAUUCCCUCCCUCUUGCUUACAAGUUAUAGCCGUCCUCUCUCCCUCUUCCAUAAUCAGAUUUACGAAUCAAUCACGACAAACACGCGACCGCCUCUGCUCGCUGUGGGCCUGCGGCGGCCGCCUCUGCCUGACUGCCUCCAUGGUCGUUCCGCCCGUUCGUCGCUCUCGGGCCUGUUCGCUGCAACUCUCCAGAUCGCCUCUGCCUGACUGCUUUGUUCGCUGCAACUCUCAAAAUGAAGAUCUUACUAAGUAUGAUUGGAGAGAGACCGACCACCUAAAUCCGAUUAGAAAUCAAAGGAGAGGAAGAAUUUGAGUUACAAGAUUCAGUGUUCUUAUUUCUCUAGGUUGUUGUUUUGCUUUUGCCAUUUGUGGUGUAUUAGCAUUACACCACAAAGAAAAUGGUGGACAUCGGAUUAUCUUAUCUCCUCAAGAUAUUUAUAAUAAUCUUAUCAAAACUAUAAAAUGAAAGGGGCAUUUAAGUCCGCUACUCUUAAGUCCGCUACUCUUGAGCAAGGCUGAUAUAUUUAGUCGUAUCUAAGGAUAACCGUCAGCCGAUUCAUAAAUCUUACUCUAGAAGUAUCUUUCAAUGAGAAAGACAAAGUGCUGCACAAACAACUACAACUGACAAUUAGGAGAUGGAUCAUCUGAACAUGACUUAAUUUAAUUUUACUGUAAUCGAAGGAUGUCGUAUAUUCUGGUUCGAAUGCAACCGCUUGACAAAGGUUAUGGAAAAAUUGACACAGCACUGUAUCAUUUCGGACGUAACAUAUGAGAAACCUGUGAAUCAUAUUGAACGCCAUUAUUAGUCUAGUAUAUCACGUCAUAGAAAAUUGAAUUGGUCUAUUUUAACUUCUUAACUGCUGUUAUUGUUCUAGUAUGCACUAUUGUUUAGCAUUCUUUGUUGUUGCUUUGGUGUCUUGAAGCACAACAAGAUUUUAUCCGAUAGUGUCAAUUAUUAGGUGGUCUGUGACUUUAAUUUGUUGCUCUUCAGGGUGUUAAUAGAUUUUAUGUUACUCAAUUUGAACUGCUUUCUGAUUAAUAGAUUUUAUAUUACUGAAUUUGAA